GGCCCCAUCGUCUAGCGGUUAGGACAUUUGGUUCUCAUCCAAAUAACCGGGGUUCGAUUCCCCGUGGGGUCA
rfam:Microgenomates (Shapirobacteria) bacterium GW2011_GWE2_38_30 TS90_C0030, whole genome shotgun sequence.